UCCCUGGAGGACUAGUGGUUAGGCUUCGGCGAUCUCAACGAUGCAGCCCGGGGUUCGAUUCUCGGCCAGGAAA